rnacentral:rRNA from 1 species
GGCUUGACAUAUACAGGAAUAUGGCAGAGAUGUCAUAGGCCGCAAGGUCUGUAUACAGGUGGUGCAUGGUUGUCGUCAGCUCGUGUCGUGAGAUGUUGGGUUAAGUCCCGCAACGAGCGCAACCCUCGUUCUGUGUUGCCAGCAUUUAGUUGGGGACUCACAGGAGACUGCCGGGGUUAACUCGGAGGAAGGUGGGGAUGACGUCAAAUCAUCAUGCCCCUUAUGUCUUGGGCUGCACGCAUGCUACAAUGGCUGGUACAAACGGCUGCAAUACCGCAAGGUGGAGCGAAUCCGAGAAAGCCAGUCUCAGUUCGGAUUGGGGUCUGCAACUCGACCCCAUGAAGUCGGAGUUGCUAGAAAUCGUAGAUCAGCAACGCUACGGUGAAUACGUUCCCGGGGCUGUACACACCGCCCGUCACAUCACGAAAGUCGGAACACCCAAAGUCAGUGGCCCAAC